AUUGAACGCUGGCGGCAGGCCUAACACAUGCAAGUCGAACGGUAACAGGAAGCAGCUUGCUGCUUCGCUGACGAGUGGCGGACGGGUGAGUAAUGUCUGGGAAACUGCCUGAUGGAGGGGGAUAACUACUGGAAACGGUAGCUAAUACCGCAUAAUGUCGCAAGACCAAAGAGGGGGACCUUCGGGCCUCUUGCCAUCGGAUGUGCCCAGAUGGGAUUAGCUUGUUGGUGGGGUAAACGGCUCACCAAGGCGACGAUCCCCUAGCUGGUCCUGAGAGGAUGACCAGCCACACU
rnacentral:rRNA from 1 species